CCCUAACACUAACCCUUACCCCAACCCUAACCACUAACCCUUAACCCUAAUCCAUACCCUAACCAUAAUCCUAACUGACUAUAACUCUAUCUUUUUUAACUUUUUUGAAAAUCUAACUUUUUAAACUUUUUUUUUUCUUUUUUAAAACUUUUUUAAUUUAAAUUUUUUUUUUUUGAAAAUCUUGGUACAACCAAAGACGUCGAAAACAGCAUGUAACAAGUUGGCAUAGUAAGGGUCCAAGAAUUGAG